rnacentral:tRNA from 1 species
GCCCAGGUGGCGGAAUGGUAGACGCUACGGACUUAAAAUCCGUUGGUUGUAAUGACCGUGCUGGUUCAAGUCCAGUUCUGGGCACCA